CAAAAAUGAUUAAAAUUAGCAAUGUAAAUGUACAUAUGAAUAGCGUUGUGGUGAAAAAAAUUCUUAGAAAAGACAAUUGAGUGUGACGGAAAUGUUGUGGCUGUGACUGUUAAUUCUGAAGAACGGUUUGCCAUUGUUACCUUUGAUUCAUCUGCAGCUGUAUAUGAGAUAAUGGAGAAGAGACCAUUAAUUAUAAUGGGGUUUGAGACUGAUGUAGAUGUUUACAGGGACAAAGUUACUUCACAAACUGAACAUGCUGAAAGUGGAACACACAGAGCAGCAUCUUUACAAACAACAGAAACUAGACAUACAAGAUUUGGUGAAAACGAACCUGAUUCUUCACAAGAAUACGGU